rnacentral:rRNA from 1 species
GAUGAACGCUGGCGGCGUGCCUAAUACAUGCAAGUCGAGCGAACAGACGAGGAGCUUGCUCCUCUGACGUUAGCGGCGGACGGGUGAGUAACACGUGGAUAACCUACCUAUAAGACUGGGAUAACUUCGGGAAACCGGAGCUAAUACCGGAUAACAUAUUGAACCGCAUGGUUCAACAGUGAAAGACGGUUUUGCUGUCACUUAUAGAUGGAUCCGCGCCGCAUUAGCUAGUUGGUAAGGUAACGGCUUACCAAGGCAACGAUGCGUAGCCGACCUGAGAGGGUGAUCGGCCACACUGGAACUGAGACACGGUCCAGACUCCUACGGGAGGCAGCAGUAGGGAAUCUUCCGCAAUGGGCGAAAGCCUGACGGAGCAACGCCGCGUGAGUGAUGAAGGUCUUCGGAUCGUAAAACUCUGUUAUUAGGGAAGAACAAAUGUGUAAGUAACUAUGCACGUCUUGACGGUACCUAAUCAGAAAGCCACGGCUAACUACGUG